UUCGAUGGGGAAGCAGCAGGAUCAGUAAUGCUAACUAUGUGGAUAAUUCAGAGAAGAUUGGACUGGGCCGGCAGGCCUCAUAACAGAGCUCUGUUUCAGCCAUGAAAAGAUUCCAUUGAAGAGCAGAAUGAGUGUGAGCCUGAGUGCAGCCUGUGCCCGGCAACAUGCCCAGUCAACCCGGCUCAGACAGACCCACCAUUCCACAACGCGCAGCGGCACCACGGCAACCAGGGGAGAUGCACACGACAUGGACUCCCAACAGUCAUGUGAGGGGAAUAGAGAGGAGAGGACAUGAUUAAACUGGCAAGGAGAGGACAGGACAGGAGAGGACAGGACAGGACAGGUGAGGACAUGAUUGGACUGGCAAGGAGAGGACAUGAUUGGACAGAAAAUGUAAAGACCAGAGAGAACAGGAGAGGAACGUAAAGGAGAAAACAGAAAAUAAGUGAGAUGAGACACCUUGUGACACUGCGGGGGGAGUUCAAGGAAGAAGAGAAGAGAGGAGAGGAGAGAAGAGGAGAGGCAGGUCUCCUUGCCAGCUUGGAUGUCAAUAAUCAGGUCAAAGUGACUACUUAUGUGGCAUCCUGACUCACAACCCCACCCUCUCCUCCACACACCCUCACUCACAACCCCACCCUCUCCU